CUGGUGUGAUCAGAGCAGGUGUCUCUAAGACCAUAGUCAUCUGUUUAUACCACACCACACAUCAAAAGGAGCUGGAAGAGACCCAGACACCAGCAGAGAUGUCUGGUCCAGCUAGUUUCCUACAUUA